rfam:Pantoea wallisii strain LMG 26277 Contig0031_, whole genome shotgun sequence.
AUUAGUUGGGGCAAAAUACGCGCCCUGCAAAAGACAAAACAUAACCGACGCCUUAUACGUCGGUUAUUUUUUUGC